UACGUAGGGCGCAAGCGUUGUCCGGAAUUAUUGGGCGUAAAGAGCUCGUAGGCGGCUUGUCACGUCGGGUGUGAAAGCCCGGGCUUAACCCCGGGUCUGCAUUCGAUACGGGCAGGCGUAGAGUUCGGUAGGGGAGACUGGAAUUCCUGGUGUAGCGGUGAAAUGACGUAGAGUAUCGGGAGGAACACCUGUGGCGAAGGCGGCCCCCUGGUUGGAUACUGACGCUGAUACGCGAAAGCGUGGGAGCAAACAGG
rnacentral:rRNA from 1 species